GACGAACGCUGGCGGCGUGCUUAACACAUGCAAGUCGAACGGUGAAGCGAGUGCUUGCACUCGUGGAUCAGUGGCGAACGGGUGAGUAACACGUGAGUAACCUGCCCAUCACUCUGGGAUAAGCACUGGAAACGGUGUCUAAUACUGGAUACGACCAACCCUUGCAUGGGUGUUGGUGGAAAGAUUUAUCGGUGAUGGAUGGACUCGCGGCCUAUCAGCUUGUUGGCGGGGUAAUGGCCCACCAAGGCGACGACGGGUAGCCGGCCUGAGAGGGUGACCGGCCACACUGGGACUGAGACACGGCCCAGACUCCUACGGGAGGCAGCAGUGGGGAAUAUUGCACAAUGGGCGAAAGCCUGAUGCAGCGACGCCGCGUGAGGGAUGACGGCCUUCGGGUUGUAAACCUCUUUCAGCAGGGAAGAAGCGAAAGUGACGGUACCUGCAGAAGAAGCACCGGCUAACUACGUG
rnacentral:rRNA from 1 species